rnacentral:rRNA from 1 species
AGGGGUGCAGCAGGCGCGAAAACUGACCAAUGCGCGAAAGCGUGAGUCGGUCAAUCCGAGUGUAGACCCAUCGGUUUACUUUUGUCAUGUGUACAACGCUUGGCGAAUAAUGUGAGGGCAAGACUGGUGCCAGCCGCCGCGGUAAAACCAGCUCAUAGAGUGGUGAUCAUGAUUAUUUGGCUUAAAGUGUGCGUAGCAGGGAAUUCUAAGUCCUCUGUGAAAUGUCAGGUCUUAAGCUUGACACGUGCAGAAGAUACUGGAAUCCUUGGGACUGGGAUAGGUGUACUGUACGGUUUGGGUAGGGGUGAAAUCCGAUAAUCCAAGCCGGACAACCGGUGGCGAAGGCGGUACACUGGAACAGGUCCGACUGUGAGGCACGAAAGCUAGGGUCGCGAGCCGGAUUAGAUACCCGGGUAGUCCUAUGCCGUAAACGAUGCUCACUAAGUGUUAGGUAAUGCAAGACAUUCUCUAGUGCCGAAGCGAAAGCGUUAAGUGAGCCGCCUGGGAAGUACGUUCGCAAGAAUGAAACUUAAAGGAAUUGGCGGGGGCCUACUACAAGAAGUGGAGCCUGCGGUUUAAUUGGACUCAACUCCGGGAAACUCACCUGGGCCGUAACGUGGAUGAUUGUCCUGUUGAAGACACUGCUUGACGCGUUACUGGAGGUGCAUGGCCAUCGUCAGUUCGUGC